rnacentral:lncRNA from 1 species
AGAAAGCCAACAAAGAACAGCCACCAGAAGUGAGAUGUCCAUUCUUCUCUAGGUAUGUGAUCUGGUUGGAACUUGUUGACAAGACGAUAUAACUUUCUUCCUGCUGCAAGCUAUUUGUUCAUGGCAGUCAACUCUCAUUUGAUCACAUAUAAGUUUGAACAUUAUAGAUAGAAGAAGGAAGAUGUUUGGAGCAAGAACAGAGCAGAUAGCAUGACGGCACAUCGACUCUUCUCAACCCUGUUAUUGAAACUUGUCUUUUCUUUGUUUGUAGUCGGACCUACCUGUGACUGCACAAGUCCACCAGCUUCUUCCUCCCCUCCACGAUCUCAUCCAAGAAGUCAUCCAGCUGCCCGGCGAUGCUGUCAGUGCCGGACCUCAGCAGCCCGAACCACAGCUUCAGGCUCUCCUCCAUCUCUCCCC